UACGUAGGUGGCAAGCGUUGUCCGGAUUUAUUGGGUUUAAAGGGUGCGUAGGCGGCCUUGUAAGUCAGUGCUGAAAUAUCCCGGCUUAACCGGGAGGGUGGCAUUGAUACUGCAGGGCUUGAGUAAAGUUGAGGUUGGCGGAAUUGACGGUGUAGCGGUGAAAUGCUUAGAUAUCGUCAAGAACACCUAUUGCGUAGGCAGCUAACUACACGAUCAUUGACACUGAGGCACGAAAGCGUGGGGAGCAAACAGG
rnacentral:rRNA from 1 species